CCGCACACGCCAGUCCAGCCCAGCCCAACUCCCGUUCAUACUGCCUCCCGGACCGGCGUCUCCGGCUCCGGCUCCACCGACGUGGCCCGCGACGGCGGCGGCGGCCCUCCUCUCCUGCGUGGCUGCGAACCAUCUCCCCUCGCGCAGUUCGAGCCUUGUAUGGCUGUAUGCGCAGCGCUCUUCAGCGACACCAAUCUCGCCGCGGACUUCCCUUCCCCGGCGUGCUCUGGUAGGUUCCGCCGCAACGUGGACUUCCCCGACCGGGGAUGGCUCUGUCUUCCCCUUCCCCGCGCAACGCCCCCACCACCCGUCCCCGUUCCCGGCGCCGGGGUGAUAUUGUCCCGUCCCCGAUCCCCAUGGGGUGGCUGUCCCCGUUGCAGCUACAGGCUGACAUCUGGAGGAAACUGCCAUUUAUUAAUUUGGAGCAGGAACGGGAGGUCCACGCGUGUGCCCUCUCAGAAACAGCGGAUGCUAGUGAAGGAAGGCGCUCGGCACAGCCAUGGCUAUGGUGCGCCCGUUCCCGGACCACCUCCCCUACUGUAGCACAGCAUGGUUUCCUUCCUCCUCCCUUUUGAUAGUUGACUUCAGUUUUGCAAAGUUGGAAGGUGGAAGGACUAACACAGUAUAUGGUCUCGUUGAAAGUAGGACCUCGGUGAUCUAAGCAAAUAAGAUAGAAGUUAGGUGGAAGAGAAGGGAAAAUUACAGCAACCACCAAGAAAUGAGAGAUCUAAGUUAGUGUUCAUGAAAGUUUAGAUCAAUAUUUGUAUUACUGUCCAUGGUGUCUCAGAUCGCAACUUCAACAAUAAUUUUGCUUGGAGAUAGCAAAUUCUUGUUUCAUGGUUUUGGUAGAGAUCAUCUUUUACUCAGAGUAGAACCAGGUUACGUUAUAGGUUCAGCCGUUUGUUGCUACAUUUCUUUCUCCUAUAAGAUGUAUCUAGCAUCAUCUGUUUACGUGAUCCAUUGGUGCAUACACAGCUCUAUUUGGGUUCAUAGGAAAUAAUUAAUGUUUGUUUUUUUGUAAAAGAUAAUCUUGUGCACUUGCUACAUUGGUUUUCUUUGAUUAGAUGCAUUCUUUGCUGCUUCUCUUGGAUUAUGAGGAUGAUCUAGAUGUGCGUCUUCUAACAACUAUUUAGGCUUUGUGAUUUCAUCUGUUUAGUACUUCAGUCACAGUUUUUGCCUUCUUUGUUUCGCUUCCCAUGGAUUCCUAUGGAUUUCCAGAAUUGAAGAUGCUGAGUUUGUGGGACAGUGCUCCAAUCUCCUGUCCAUGCCUUUCUGGUUUUGUUUGCUUAGUUUUUUUAUGGCAGAUUUAUUGACGCUCUCAGCAAAUUGCUCAUUACAAUGGCUUAGCUAAGAAGCUUAAUAUGGAAGAUCGGCAGGAUAAACAUUCUUGAUGUUUACAGGAAUUACUUUCCCACCUGUUACUGUUUUAAGUUUUUUUUUUCUGUAUACAUACAUACUAUUCACAUAUUAACUCUCGGUGAUACACAAAUUUACAAGCAGAUUGUGUAUGGUGAUAUAUUUUUAAAUAUUUCUCUUUUGAAGACUAUUCUCUGAUACCUUGACAACUCUAUUUCAAUCCAUAUUCUUGUCUUGGCCACACUUAUACUUUACAUUUGCAGGAUUUUGGUGGUUCUGCAAGACUACAGAAGAUCCUAUUCAAGGAGCAGUCUGACAACUUCGAAUUUUUACAGCACAUCUUGCUGGUCCUGGACUGCUGGUUCAGGAGGGAUGAAGAAGGUUCCAACAGUUACACCAUUGCCUAUCCUUCUCACCAGAUGCUAUCUGGCAUGGUCCCAUGAAUGAAGUUUCGACAUGCGAUCUAGUUUGUCGGCAUGUGUGCACUUUUUUCAACACCUGCAGUUUGGAAGGCGGCCACUUUAUUCAAGAAACUGCAUCUUGGAAGAGAUUUAUUUAAUUACGAGGAAAGAAAACAAUACUACACUACCCUCACUUUUAUGAGCAAGCAGGAGCUUGGAUGAGAAGACCAAGCUCAAGGUAUGAGCUCAUUGAGAUGGUCCUUUUCUCAAAGGUACACUGUAUUUGGAGCCUUGGACCUUUGACAAGACCUAUUUGUUUUCUGAACAAACAAUAUUCUUCUGUCAUUUGAUAUGGAAUCUGCUUUCCUGAUGGUAGUCCGUUAGUUUGCACAAGGGAGACGCCACCAAGGAAACAGGACAGGGAGAAGCUCUGACAAAUUUGAGAGUGGUGGGCCCUAAUGACAGCUGUUCAUAUACAGAUGAUUUUUCAAGAGGACGCCAAUUUUGUUCUUUUCAAAACCGAACAUCUCAUGAUCAACUUGGUAGUUGGUACCUUAUAUAGUUCUUAAAAAUAUAUUUGGAGAAUGUGUGGAUUGGAGAGAUUAUGGAUGAGGACUAGCUUGUGUAUGACCUUUCAUUUUUGGGUUAUGUUUAUUAGAAUAGAGUUGUUCCCACUGUCUA